GAUGAACGCUAGCGGCAGGCCUAACACAUGCAAGUCGAGGGGCAUCAUGGCGUAGCAAUACGCUGAUGGCGACCGGCGCACGGGUGCGUAACGCGUAUGGAACCUACCCACCGCAGGGGGAUAACCCGCCGAAAAGCGGACUAAUACCCCAUGGUUCCCCGACCCUGCCUGGGGUUGGGGGUAAAGCCUACGGGCGGCGGUGGAUGGCCCUGCGUGCCAUUAGCUGGCUGGUGGGGUAACGGCCCACCAGGGCGACGAUCAGUAGCCGACCUGAGAGGGUAAUCGGCCACAUUGGAACUGAGACACGGUCCAAACUCCUACGGGAGGCAGCAGUGGGGAAUAUUGCACAAUGGGCGCAAGCCUGAUCCAGCAAUGCCGCGUGCAGGAUGAAGGCCUUCGGGUUGUAAACUGCUUUUGUACGGAACGAAACGGUCUGCCCUAAUACGGUGGGCUAAUGACGGUACCGUAAGAAUAAGCACCGGCUAACUACGUG
rnacentral:rRNA from 1 species